rnacentral:rRNA from 1 species
AGAGACCGGCGCACGGGUGCGUAACGCGUAUGCAAUCUACCUUUCACAGAGGGAUAGCCCAGAGAAAUUUGGAUUAAUACCUCAUAGUAUAGCAGUUUCGCAUGAAACCACUAUUAAAGAUUUAUCGGUGAAAGAUGAGCAUGCGUCCCAUUAGUUAGUUGGUAAGGUAACGGCUUACCAAGACAACGAUGGGUAGGGGUCCUGAGAGGGAGAUCCCCCACACUGGUACUGAGACACGGACCAGACUCCUACGGGAGGCAGCAGUGAGGAAUAUUGGACAAUGGGCGCAAGCCUGAUCCAGCCAUGCCGCGUGCAGGAUGACGGUCCUAUGGAUUGUAAACUGCUUUUAUACGAGAAGAAACACUCCGACGUGUCGGAACUUGACGGUAUCGCAAGAAUAAGGAUCGGCUAACUCCGUGCCAGCAGCCGCGGUAAUACGGAGGAUCCAAGCGUUAUCCGGAAUCAUUGGGUUUAAAGGGUCCGUAGGCGGUCAGAUAAGUCAGUGGUGAAAGCCCAUCGCUCAACGGUGGAACGGCCAUUGAUA